rnacentral:rRNA from 1 species
AAGGAAUAUUGCUAAAUGGGAGAAAUCCUGAAGCAGCAACGCCGCGUGGAGGAUGAAGGGUCUAUGACUUGUAAACUCCUGUAAAGAAGGAAAAAAUUCCCACUUGAUGGGAGAGGAUGGUACGUCUGGAGUAAGCCCCGGCUAACUACGUGCCCGCAGCCGCGGUAAUAAGUAGGGGGCAAGCGUUGUCCGGAUUUACUGGGUGUAAAGGGUGCUCAGGCGGAUUUGUAAGUCAGAGGUGAAAUCUUACAGCUUAACUGUGAAACUGCCUGUGAUACUGCAAGCCGAGGGUAUGGAAGAGCGUGAUGGAAUAUCUGGUGUGGCAGUCCAAUGCGUAGAUAUCAGAGAGAAGACCAACGGCGAAGGCAGUCACUUGGUCCAUUACGAACGCUAAAGCACGAAAGCGUGGGUAGCA